rnacentral:sRNA from 1 species
UCGCAGUGGGGGUUCAGUCUUUAAAAAGA